GAUAGAGGCGAUGGGGAGAGUUUGAUGACAAGGAUGUGGACUUUGUGAGGAAGAUAUCCAAUUUUCUGAUGAUGAGUUUAGUGAAGAUGUCCACGCAAAGGGCAAAAAGAGGAAGGCAGCUUUGAAAGUUUUGCCCCAAAAGCUGAACAAGUCCAAGAAGGCAAAGACUGGUGCCAGUGCUGAUAUAUAUACAGCUGCAGAGCAGUUUGGGGACAUGUUGGAUGAGACAGGAGGUUUCCAAGAUCAACAUGUCUGGAUCACAUGCAUUUGCUAAUACGGACAAGGCCCAUGCAAAGCAGCUCAAGUGGGAGGCAGACAGGGACAGAUGGCUGCGAGGGCCGACCCGAAAGCAGCCAUUCAACAAGCAGAGGGGUGGGAAAAAAUUCUCCAAAGGAAAACAAGGUGGAAAGCGUGGACAAUUUCAAGGAAAGCCUGGAAGAAGGAAAUAGACUGUUAAAAAACUUUUGUAGCUUGUUCUUAUAUGUCUGGAAAGCAGAUGCAAUGUUCUAUACGGUUUUAAAUAAAACCAGAUGUAAUUAUGAUAUGUGUUCAGUUUCUCUUUGAAUUGUUUGGCUUUUAAUAUUAUUAGAAUUAUAUGACGCUUUUGAUUGAACUGAACAUAUUGAUCAGUAUACUGUGAUGAUUUUAAUCAGUAUACUCUAGCCUUUAAACAUGUAAUACUGCAUAUGAAGAGUGUUAUUAGAAGAGUUGGCUUUAUGAGCAUGCUCUUUCUGCGCAUGGAUGUUUCAAGGAAGUCUCUUCUGAUGGUAAAUCCACUGUUAGUUGAAAGGAACAGCCUGAUCUAGGACGCCACUACUUGAUCUAGAAGGCAACUUUGAUUGUGGAUUAAAAAAAGUUUUUCCUGAUUAUACACACAUUGUAUAAACCAUGUGUGCACUAUGCAAUUUUUUGUUGAUUGGUUCAUUUCACAAGAUAGUGCAAAAAUCUGUUAAUAAAUGUUUGCAUUAUUUAACAAGUAGGCGGAAUAACUGUUUCAAAAGAACAUAAACUUUCAUUUUGGCUAAUGUAAUAACCGACACACAUUGAGUCUUGCGAUGUUUGAAAGCCAUAAUUAUUACUUGCAUUUGUUUUAUAAAGAAUAACACUGUGUGUUAAAGGGACCUGUUCACAGAUUUUGGCGUGUUUUGAAGUUUGUCAUUAAAUGAUUACCGGUAUUUGUAAACAUCAGAACUAAAGAGCUCCGGUAAAUAACAAAAAUAUAUUUUUUAAAGAAAAAAGUAAUCCACGGCUGGGCUCGAACCACUGAUCCUUGAAGUAAAAGUCUAGUAAUUGUACCACUCGACUAUCAGUGCUGGUAAGCCAGAUGAUGUAUUUUAUACGAUAUAUAAGCAAUCCUUUUAAUGUCACACAAUGUAAUGAUUUCAACAGAACUUUCCAAAUUAUUCAUUCAAUCCCUUCACGUUUGUAUUGCAGCAUUAUUUUCAGGUUUUUAAAUAGGCAAAUAAUGCAUAUAAUGAAUAUUUUAGAGCAUGGUUAAUGAUAAGUUUCCUUGUAAUAAAAACAUACGUACAAUUAAAGUUUGCAAAUCUGAAUUAAAUUUGUUUUUUAAUUUAUGUUAAUUUAUCAAAACAUGAACAGGUUCCUUUAAUAUGAUGAACAGAAUUUUAAAUGUGAGCAACUAACAACACAUUUAAAUUAAGCACAUUUAACUGUUUUUGAAAAAUGUGCAUGCCAUAAUAGGGGAGAUAAUUUCAAGGUUGAAUGUUUUUAGAUAUUAAAAUUCCAUCAUCUACAGUUACAAUAAUUUCACAUGAGAAAGUCCAAAUAUGAAGGAUUUUGUUUAGUGUAACUUAUCAGGCUUUCUAUAUUUGUGCCCAAAAUAUCUUCAAUAAUACUUGACUUAUCUGUAUGUAAUACAAGUAACAGUUAAUAACAAUUCGGUUUCUGUAUGUGUGCAUACAAAUCUAAACACUUGAAUGGUCACAAAGGGUAGUAAUUACUCCACAAAAUGCUGUGGAUAUAUAUGGUGUCUGUGCUGGAGGUCAGGGGUUUUAUCUGAUCUCAGAGCAUUGUCAGAAUCGCCUCAAAAACACCAUGAAAGUACUGUCUUAAUAAAAAUGUUGCUGUCGAUGCAAUUGUUAAUUAGUCAAUAUAUUUAAACUGAUGAAUAAAUAAAGGAACCUUU